rnacentral:rRNA from 1 species
AGUGAACGCUGGCGGUAGGCCUAACACAUGCAAGUCGAACGGCGGCACAGUAAGAGCUUGCUCUUACGGGUGGCGAGUGGCGGACGGGUGAGGAAUACAUCGGAAUCUACUUUUUCGUGGGGGAUAACGUAGGGAAACUUACGCUAAUACCGCAUACGACCUACGGGUGAAAGCAGGGGAUCUUCGGACCUUGCGCGAUUGAAUGAGCCGAUGUCGGAUUAGCUAGUUGGCGGGGUAAAGGCCCACCAAGGCAACGAUCCGUAGCUGGUCUGAGAGGAUGAUCAGCCACACUGGAACUGAGACACGGUCCAGACUCCUACGGGAGGCAGCAGUGGGGAAUAUUGGACAAUGGGCGCAAGCCUGAUCCAGCCAUACCGCGUGGGUGAAGAAGGCCUUCGGGUUGUAAAGCCCUUUUGUUGGGAAAGAAAAGCAGCAGGUUAAUACCCCGCUGUUCUGACGGUACCCAAAGAAUAAGCACCGGCUAACUUCGUG